rnacentral:rRNA from 1 species
GACGAACGCUGGCGGCGUGCUUAACACAUGCAAGUCGAACGAUGAAGCUGGAGCUUGCUCUGGUGAAUUAGUGGCGAACGGGUGAGUAACACGUGAGUAACCUGCCCUUGACUCUAGGAUAACUGCUAGAAAUGGUAGCUAAUACCGGAUACGACCCUCGGCGGCAUCGCCAGGGGGUGGAAAGAAUUUCGGUCAAGGAUGGACUCGCGGCCUAUCAGCUAGUUGGUGAGGUAACGGCUCACCAAGGCGACGACGGGUAGCCGGCCUGAGAGGGUGACCGGCCACACUGGGACUGAGACACGGCCCAGACUCCUACGGGAGGCAGCAGUGGGGAAUAUUGCACAAUGGGCGCAAGCCUGAUGCAGCAACGUCGCGUGAGGGAUGACGGCCUUCGGGUUGUAAACCUCUUUUAGUAGGGAAGAAGCGAAAGUGACGGUACCUGCAGAAAAAGCACCGGCUAACUACGUGCCAGCCGCCGCCGUAA